ACACGCUGCAACCGUGUCACUUAGUUACAGCUCACGCACUUCGCCGCAGUGCAAUCCCUUUCUAGAUCUGAAAAAAAAACUCUCGAACUCUCCGUCUAUUUCACAAUUCUCUCUCAAACCCUAACAUUCUUCUUCCUCCCCUCCCUGAAUCUCUCCUUGAUAUCUUCCUCAAUCUUUAAUGGAUUCAUCUUUCUUUGAUUUUUUGCUAAGUCUUUCCAUUCCGGUCAUAGAGAGAGAAACAAAGGGCGGAAGAGAGAGAAAGACACCGACCUUUUUCUAUGCUCAACGUUCUACCAUUUCUUCGCCAAUUGCGCUAGGAGUUUGCUUCAGAUUUGUAAGCAUUGAAGGCCAGUUUUGAUGUUGUUGGUGAUAAAUUGAAUGUCGUUAGCUGUGGUGGUGCUGCUGACAAGGCCCACAUGCUUGCAGAACAGGUCUUAGAGUUGUCUGGAACAUUGCAAAGGUAGAGCCUGGAUCCAACGUUGCUAUUUUUGGUCUUGGAACCAUAGGCCUUGCUGUUGCAGAGGGUGCUAAAACUGCAGGUGCUUCACGGAUCAUUGGUGUAGACAUCGAUCCCAAGAAGUUUGACGUAGACAUGCCGUUUUGCUGUUACUGCCUUCAUUUAUUGAUCAAAUAUCAAGUAAGCUGCGAGAAAAAGGCGAACUAAUAAAUUAAUGCCCCAAACUGAUGAUAGAAGUAUAGAAGACAGUUUAUUGGGUGUGGUGCCUCAAUUCCAUUCCACUGCAUCGGCUUCUUGGUUGAUGGUAGCCCCUGAUAUCAUAGAUGAGAGUUUUAAAUUAGCUUGGUUCUGGAGAAACUUACACUGCAUAGCAACGGGAUCCAUCAGGUGAAAUUUCAUACUACUUGUGGACAAAUGAACAAUUUGCCCAUCACUAAAGAAAAGGAGAAAGAUCUUUCAAAAUAUUCAUCUGAACUAUAAUGCUGGUGUCAUUGUGAAUCUAAAGGGAGAAAUUAAAGGAUCUGUGAUUAGCUUGGAAAUGCACUUUGGGGACGGUUGCAAUGACUCUCAUCCAGGGGUUUUAAUGAAGCAGUUAAUGGAUUUAUGGUUGAAGGAUGGUCAAUAGACAGUGGCGGAAUUGAUAAUCUAACUCUUCUUAAUAUUUCAUCCCAUAGCAAAAUGAUGGAAUUUCACAUUAAAUGUGUAAAUGGUGUAACUCUUUUACUCAAUUCUAUUUAUGGAUGUUAUAUGGAGGUUAUUUAUGGAUGUUAUAUGGAGGUUAUUUAUGUA